UACAGAGGUGCCAAGCGUUAGGCGGAAUCACUGGGCUUAAAGCGCGUGUAGGUGGACGGGUAAGUAUCUUGUGAAAUCCCACGGCUCAACCGUGGAACUGCUGGAUAUACUGCUUGUCUUGAGGCACUUAGGGGCAGCUGGAACAAAUGGUGGAGCGGUGAAAUGCGUAGAUAUCAUUUGGAACGCCAAAGGCGAAAGCAGGCUGCUGGGAGUGAUCUGACACUGAGACGCGAAAGCCAGGGAGCAAACGGG
rnacentral:rRNA from 1 species